CCUCCUUUCUUCCGCCGUGCGGAAUAUUGGUCAAUGGGCGAGAGCCUGAACCAGCCAAGUCGCGUGAGGGAAGACGGUCCUAUGGAUUGUAAACCUCUUUUGUCGGGGAGCAAAAAGGCCUCGUGAGGCCACAAGUGAGAGUACCCGAAGAAAAAGCAUCGGCUAACUCCGUGCCAGCAGCCGCGGUAAUACGGAGGAUGCGAGCGUUAUCCGGAUUUAUUGGGUUUAAAGGGUGCGCAGGCGGUCUGUUAAGUCAGCGGUCAAAGCCCGGGGCUCAACCCCGGCCCGCCGUUGAAACUGGCAGUCUCGAGUUGGAGAGAAGUAUGCGGAAUGCGCGGUGUAGCGGUGAAAUGCAUAGAUAUCGCGCAGAACUCCGAUUGCGAAGGCAGCAUGCCGGCUCCACACUGACGCUGAGGCACGAAAGCGUGGGUAUCGAACAGGAUUAGAUACCCUUGUAGUC
rnacentral:rRNA from 1 species